UUUUUUUAAAGGUCAGCGGGAGAGGACUGAUCUGUAUCAAGGAGCAGUAACCUUGGCGGUAUUCAAAUACAGCGGAUGCUUCUAGCGCCAUGUCUGGUCACUGAGCUUGAAGCAGCGGGGGGGAGGAAGCCAGCAGUGGACUUCCUCCAGGCGCUCAGCCACCUAUGAGUUGCCCUUAAAUUGUGGACUAGCACCAGCAACUAACCUUUCCACGAGCAAUAAAAACGUGCUGGCUCACUUCUUACCCACUGCAAAUACAUGCUUCUCUUAGUCUAGCUGUGGGUGGCUUGUUGUGUCGGUAUAAAUUAUUCUGCGUGUGCUUUGACAUGCAUGCACACACACAAACACAUUUAACCUCUGGGCACAGCAGAGGAGCCUAUGCUAACAAUGGACCCAGAGUUGUCAAAACAUACCCAUGCAAAUCACGGACUCCUAUCUUACGAGCACGCUGGAAAUGUCACAGAGAUUAGGCCGACGCUCUCCCUACCCCCCGGCACCAUGCCGUUCACGGGGAGAGAGCCGUCAAUGUUGAUGGGCUAAGAGACCCAUUAGCGGCUGCAGCCCAAAUUCUCGCUAAACGGAUUAAUAUUUGUGUUGUACCACCAGAGCUCAGUGUACACACAGUGCUCCAAGGUGACGCUGGCAGGGGCACUACAUCAACAAUAAUGAGACGGGAGGUCUCCAGAGGGGAGGGGUGUACGAAAUCAAACAUACGCACUCUUUGAAGCUUCAGCCUUGGCUGAAAUGCCAGCAGUUUCUUGACCAGCGUCUACUGGAAUUGAUGAAUAGCAUGAAGACUGUAGAAGCCAUUUGUUUCGGAACAAUGCAAGCUGGUGACUAACUUUGAUGGAAGGUAUAUGAAGGUUUUUUUUUUUCCUUUUUCAUCUAACAAGAUUAAGAAGUUGCACAACACACCCACACACACACUUUCCUCCCACAUUCACACCAUAUCUGGGAUGGGCCAAGCCUGGGGCAAGGGGGAAAGGGAGCGGCUGUCGCCGUCACAGUAUGGUUCAUAUAUGGUGGGAGGGCAACGAUCACAGAGAAGAUUACUCCGCCAAGCAAAAGUGUGUGCGUAUGUGUAUACGCUCAUACGUGUGUGUGUAUGUGUACAAGUGCAGGCAUUUUCUAAUCAACAUUAGAUGUGACACACAUCUGGCUCAGGGGUGGAGUCAGUGUGUGAGUGGUGUGUGGUGUGUGAGGUAUGUGUAUGUGUGUGGUGUGAGGUGUGUGGUGUGUGGUGUGUGGGUGUGUGUAUGGAUUACUGCCUGCAGAAAUAUUUAUCUUUAUUUAAAUAAACCGAGGAGUGUUUAAUUGAUGAAAACAGAAGGGCUGUGCAUUCCACAUAUCUGUAACUAAUGCUCAGCAGAGUGUCUUUAGAAAAUGGUUUAUGCCAUAUCAAGGUAAAGAGAUUUAGUUUCAUUUUUAAUUCAUUUUGAAGUGUGGGUGGCUUUGGCUCUUUCUAAACCUGCCUGGAGAAUUUAGCAAUAUCAAAAAAAGCUCUACCCAAAAAAAAAUUACACUGAAUGAAAUGAAAUGGAGGCAAGUGAUAAGGAACGUACCAUUUGGUGGGUCACGUCUCUUCUCUGCAAAAACAAAAUUAAGAUGAUUAAAACAAAUGUUGCUUGGCGACGGUCAGGCGAACGCGUUAGUGAACUCGAGUGUGAGUGAGGGAGGGAGAGAGAGAGAGAGACGGCGAGUGCAAAAAGUGUGGCGUUUUAGAAGAAAGGAUUUAGGUCUUCUGAGUUAGUGUGUUUUAUUUAGGUGUUUUUUUAUAGCCCAAAGGACAGGUGUAUAAGUGGAGAAGGUCAGACAAUAAGACAGAGUAUAACGUGACAUAUUUGGCAGAGCGAGAGAGAGACAGAGAAAUAAAGAUAGACUAACAGAAAGAAAGGGGGAAUUUUUAACCAAGCAAGAGAGGAAAGAAAUGCAAAUUAAAGUCUCGUCAGAAGCCAGCCCUAAGUUCCCCUUGCUUAAGAGACACACCAUGGGGCUUUGAGGCUAAGAGAGAGAGAGAG
ensembl:lncRNA